rnacentral:rRNA from 1 species
AUACGGAGGGUGCAAGCGUUACUGGGAAUCACUGGGCGUAAAGCGCGCGCAGGCGGUCUUUUAAGUUGGAUGCGAAAGCCUACGGCUCAACCGUAGAACUGCAUCCAAAACUAUUAGACUAGAGUGUGGGAGAGGAAGAUGGAAUUAGUUGUGUAGGGGUAAAAUCCGUAGAGAUAACUAGGAAUACCAAAAGCGAAGGCAAUCUUCUGGAACACUACUGACGCUGAGGCGCGAAAGCGUGGGGAGCAAACAGGAUUAGAUACCCCAGUAGUCC